GGGGGGUAAGCUUCAUUGUCAAGAGGGAAACAGCCCAGAUCACCAUUUAAGGCCCCUAAAUAACUACUAAGUGAUAAAGGAUGUAGAAUUACAUAGACAACCAGGAGGUUCGCUUAGAAGCAGCUAUUCCUUUAAAAAGUGCGUAAUAGCUUACUGGUCAAGUGAUUUUGCGCCGAAAAUGAAUGGGACUAAGUAGUUUGCCGAAGAUGUGAGAUAAUAUUAAAUUAAUCGGUAGAAGAGCGUUCCAUAUUAGUAUGAAGUAAUGACGAAAGUUUUUAUGGACUAGAUGGAAGUGAGAAUGUCAGCUUAAGUAACGAAAACAUUGGUGGAAAUCCAAUGCCCCGAAAACCUAAGGUUUCCUUGGCUAGGUUCGUCCACCAAGGGUUAGUCAGAUCCUAAGAUUAGGUUUAAAAACGUAAUCGAUGGUCAACAGUUUAAUAUUACUGUACCUUUUUAUUUUUACUGAAAGUGACGAAAAAAGCUAAGGUUAGCCAAGUAAUGGAUUUUGGUUCAAAAUUACGAGACGUUAAAGUUAAGUAUUGAGUACGAUAAAUACUACGGUAUUAAAAGUAACUAAAGUUAUGUUUCCAAGAAAAGCUUUCUGAAUAAUGAUAAAAUGUCUGUACCGUAAACUGACAAAGGUGGGUAAGUAGAGAAUACUAAGGGGCGCGAGAUAACUCUUUCUAAGGAACUCGGCAAAAUAGCCCCGUAACUUUGGAAGAAGGGGUGCCUCUUUAUGAGGUCGCAGUGACUUGGUCCAAACGACUGCUUACCAAAAGCACAGGUCUCCGCUAAGUUGAAAAACGAUGUAUGGGGGCUGACGCCUGCCCAGUGCCGGAAGGUUAAAGAAGUCGGUUAGCGUAAGUGAAGCUGGUAACUGAAGCCCUGGUGAACGGCGGUCGUAACUAUAACGAUCCUAAGGUAGCGAAAUUCCUUGUCGGGUAAGUUCCGACCUGCACGAAAGGCGUAACGAUUUGGAUACUGUCUCAGAAAGAGACUCGGUGAAAUAGAAUUGACUGUGAAGAUGCGGUCUACUUGCACUUGGACAGAAAGACCCUAUGAAGCUUUACUGUAACUUGAAAUUGGUUUUGGACUUUUCUUGCGCAGAAUAGGUGGGAGGCUAUGAUUCACUUUUUCGGGAGUAGAUGAGCUGAAAUAUGAGAUACCACUCUAGGAAAGUUAGAAAUCUAAUAUUAUACUUUUAACAAGAUUAUUGACAGUUUCAGGCGGGCAGUUUUACUGGGGCGGUAGCCUCCUAAAAGGUAACGGAGGCGUACAAAGGUUUUCUCAAUUUGGUCGGAAAUUAAAUUUAGAGUGUAAAGACAAAAGAAAGCUUGACUGUGAGACCUACAAGUCAAACAGAGACUAAAGUCGGUCUUAGUGACCCGACGGUUCUGAGUGGAAAGGCCGUCGUUCAACGGAUAAAAGUUACUCUAGGGAUAACAGGCUGAUCUCCCCCAAGAGUUCAUAUCGACGGGGAGGUUUGGCACCUCGAUGUCGGCUCAUCGCAACCUGGGGCGGUAGUACGUUCCAAGGGUUGGGCUGUUCGCCCAUUAAAGCGGUACGUGAGCUGGGUUCAGAACGUCGAGAGACAGUUCGGUCCAUAUCCGGUGUGAGCGUUAGAGUAUUGAAAAGAACUUUUCCUAGUACGAGAGGACCGGAAAGGACACACCACUGAUGUACCAGUUUUUGUGCCAACAGAAAACGCUGGGUAGUCAAGUGUGGAGUGGAUAACUGC
rnacentral:rRNA from 1 species